rnacentral:pre_miRNA from 1 species
ACAGGAAAAUGACCUAUGACUUGACAGACAAUGUGGCUAGUUCUGUCUGUCAUUUCCGUAGGCCAAUAUUCUGU